rnacentral:rRNA from 1 species
GACGAACCGUGCGAACGUUAUUCGGAAUCACUGGGCUUAAAGCGCGUGUAGGCGGGUCGGCACGUCGGUCGCUGAAAUCCCCCGGCUCAACCGGGGAAGGGGCGCCGAUACGGCCGGCCUGGAGGGACGUAGGGGGGGCUGGAACUUCCGGUGGAGCGGUGAAAUGCGUUGAGAUCGGAAGGAACGCCCGUGGCGAAAGCGAGCCCCUGGACGUCUACUGACGCUGAGACGCGAAAGCCAGGGGAGCGAACGGG